GCGCCCGUAGCUCAAUUGGAUAGAGCGUCUGGCUACGGACCAGAAGGUUAGGGGUUCAAUUCCUCUCGGGCGUACCA
rnacentral:tRNA from 1 species